rnacentral:rRNA from 1 species
UACAGAGGGGGCAAGCGUUAUUCGGAAUUAUUGGGCGUAAAGGGCGCGUAGGCGGCCUGGCAAGUGGAAGGUGAAAUCCCUCGGCUUAACCGAGGAACUGCCUCCCAAACUGCUUGGCUUGAGACCAGGAGAGGUGAGUGGAAUUCCCAGUGUAGCGGUGAAAUGCGUAGAUAUUGGGAGGAACACCAGUGGCGAAGGCGGCUCACUGGACUGGUACUGACACUGAAAAACGAAAGCCAGGGGAGCAAACGGG